AGAGCCUCCAGAAUAACCAGAAGGUUAGAAAUUUAUACGACGCCGUUUGGUUCAGACAGAGGCUUAGAACAAUUCGAAUCCGUUUGUUUGAGGGUAAGGAACGAUUUUCUUCCCGUUCUUUUCUUAGAUGGAUUCGUACAUUU
rfam:Corchorus capsularis cultivar CVL-1 contig08197, whole genome shotgun sequence.